AAUGCAGAUGAAAUUUUCACCAGACCAAGCAAAGAUAUGUUGAAAGCCAUAUUCAUUGUUAUAAAAAGUAGAGGUAAUAAUGGAGCUCCUGCACAACCUGAAAAACAGGGUUAACAGACUGAUUCAUAUAAAUCUGCUGACAAGCAAAAGAUAAUAACUUUAACUGCAUCCACAUCUUUGACAGACUAGGUUUUCCUAUAAGAAAGAGAGCACAUGAUCUUUAAAUAUAUGUGGCGGUGCAAGUAGAAUAUUAAGUGAAAUCAACUUCAAUGCAAGUGUUUUCACCCCUGUGAAGGCUAAUACAAAGGUCAUUUACUCCAAAAUUUAGGCAUGUCACCCCUGUCAUCAGGAGGGGAACGGAGUUGAAAGCAUGAUUGAAGGUCUGAACUUAGAGGUUAUGAUUGAAGGAGAGAUCUGGAGUUAAGAGGUGGUAAUGGUGUUUCGGCACCUUUGGUUCAAUUUUGUAUAGAGCUUUCUUUUCAUGUGGAUUUUGGACCCAUUCUAUGUGAUCUAACAAUAAAUAUAUUUAUAUUAUCUGGGCAGUAGUUAAUAGAAGCAAUAAUAUAUUAAGAAGAGUGACCAUAACAUCUUCCCUUAUCUCUUCAACCUCAUCUUUCCCCUUUCUUCUUCCCUUCUCUUGCACAUCUCUUCCUCUUCAUAGCCCUUUAGCCACUCUUUUUUGACAAGUUCAAUACCAUAGCGCUCUCUUUCAUAGAUUGAAGACAGAUCAUGAGGUUAGACCUAUAUCUAUCGAUAAUGUUGUGGUCUCACACCCUAACAAAUUCUGCAAAACUAUAUAUACCAACCAGUAAAAGAAAGGAAAAGAAAAAAAAAGAAAUUUGUCAGAGUCAGACUAUCUAAAAACUGUUCUCCUAUUAAAGAAAAUAUCAGUGGUAGUGUCAUAUUUGUGUUGCUUGGGGGUUGGUGUAGAAUGCAAGUUUCAGUCAUGUACAUUAGUAAUAGCAUCCAUGUCCACCAGUUUGCUAGCUUGAGUUAUGUUCAUGAGAUUCAUAACUGUUUUAACGUUUAAAACAUACGCUAGUGUUGCUGCAAGAGAAGCAACUAAUGCAGAUGAAAUUUUCACCAGACCAAGCAAAGAUAUGUUGAAAGCCAUAUUCAUUGUUAUAAAAAGUAGAGGUAAUAAUGGAGCUCCUGCACAAAACAGCAUCUAAAGAAAGAAUUUAAUAUUCUUGAUCAGACUAGAGGUUCCAAGUGAAAAUGUAGCUACUAUGCAAAGGUCUUGACCCUUGAGUAUGUAUUUUUCUGGCAGUACCCAACUGCUAUGCAUAUUUGUUAUUUAGCAAUAAAAGCACAAUAUGCGAUUAGCAGAUAUG
rnacentral:lncRNA from 1 species